AUACGUAGGUGGCGAGCGUUGUCCGGAAUUACUGGGCGUAAAGGAUGCGUAGGUGGAUAUUUAAGUGGGAUGUGAAAUCCCCGGGCUCAACCCGGGAACUGCAUUCCAAACUGGGUAUCUAGAGUGCAGGAGAGGAAAGCGGAAUUCCUAGUGUAGCGGUGAAAUGCGUAGAUAUUAGGAGGAACACCAGUGGCGAAGGCGGCUUUCUGGACUGUAACUGACACUGAGGCAUGAAAGCGUGGGUAGCAAACAGGAUUAGAUACCCGGGUAGUCCACGCCGUAAACGAUGGGUACUAGGUGUAGGAGGUAUCGACCCCUUCUGUGCCGUCGUUAACACAAUAAGUACCCCGCCUGGGAGUACGGUCGCAAGACUAAAACUCAAAGGAAUUGACGGGG
rnacentral:rRNA from 1 species